AUUGAACGCUGGCGGCCGGCCUAACACAUGCAAGUCGAACGAGUGGCGGACGGGUGAGUAAUGUAUGGGAAACUGCCUGAUGGAGGGGUAUAACUACUGGAAACGGUAGCUAAUACCGCAUACCAUCAGAUGUGCCCACAUGGGAUUAGCUUGUUGGUGGGGUAAAGGCUCACCAAGGCGAAGAUCCCUAGCUGGUCUGAGAGGAUGACCAGCCACACUGGAACUGAGACACGGUCCAGACUCCUACGGGAGGAAACAGUGGGGAAGAUGGCACAAUGGGCGAAAGCCUGAUGCAGCAAUGCCGCGUGUAUGAAGAAGGCCUUCGGGUUGUAAAGUACUGUCAGCGGGGAGGCGUUACCCGCAGAAGAAGCACCGGCUAACUCCGUGCCAGCAGCCGCGGUAAUAC
rnacentral:rRNA from 1 species